rnacentral:rRNA from 1 species
CACGCCGUAAACGAUGAGCACUAGGUGUCGGGGCCGCAAGGCUUCGGUGCCGCAGUUAACGCAUUAAGUGCUCCGCCUGGGGAGUACGCACGCAAGUGUGAAACUCAAAGGAAUUGACGGGGACCCGCACAAGCAGCGGAGCAUGUGGUUUAAUUCGAAGCAACGCGAAGAACCUUACCAGGGCUUGACAUCCCUCUGACCGGCGUGUAACGGCGCCUUCCCUUCGGGGCAGAGGUGACAGGUGG